rnacentral:rRNA from 1 species
CAGGGUACUCGAGUGGCGAACGGGUGAGUAACACGUUGGUGAUCUGCCCUGCACUUCGGGAUAAGCUUGGGAAACUGGGUCUAAUACCGGAUAGGAACCAUCUUUAGUGUGGUGGUUGGAAAGUUUUUUCGGUGUAGGAUGAGCUCGCGGCCUAUCAGCUUGUUGGUGGGGUAAUGGCCUACCAAGGCGGCGACGGGUAGCCGGCCUGAGAGGGUGUACGGCCACAUUAGGACUGAGAUACGGCCCAG